UUUGAGAGAUUUUCAGAGUGGAUAAGAUUAGUAGAAUCUAUAUCAUUCUUAAAAAAAGUUGCCAAGUAUCGUACGGCAGCAGUGACUGGGGACACAAGGUCUAAGUCUGUUGAAACUUAUAAAGAAGCUGAAUUAUUUAUUAUUAAAGUGGUUCAAAAUGAACUUUACCAAACAGAAAUUGAUAACAUUAGACAAAAUUUGCGUCUUCCCAAGAAUAGUACUCUUGUGUCAUUAAAUCCAUUUCUUGAUUCACGUGGUGUUCUGUGUGUCGGCGGAAGAUUGAACAAGGCAAAUAUUGAACUGCAUGAGAAAAACCCUAUCAUUAUCCCGGGUAAGCAUUACAUUGCCAAGUUACUCAUACGGCAUUUUCAUGAAACUGUUUGUGACCAGGGACGCCAUUUUACCGAAGGAGCCAUCAGAAAGGCAGGUUUUUGGAUAACCGGAGUGAAGCGUUUAAUACAGUCAUUCAUUCAUUCUUGCGUUAAAUGUAGAAAAUUGAGAGGUGUAGUUGAAUUUCAGAAGAUGUCUGAUCUACCAUCCGAUCGACUUGAACCUGGUCCAUCUUUUUCUAAUGUUGGCAUUGAUGCCUUUGGUCCUUGGAAUGUAGUGACUCGAAAAACCCGUGGAGGCAGCGCACAGUCUAAGCGUUGGGCAAUAUUAUUUACUUGUCUCACAACUCGUGCAGUACAGAUUGAAUUGGUAGAAGAGAUGUCGUCCUCGGCAUUCAUAAAUGCUCUUAGAAGAUUUGUGGCGAUUCGUGGGAAAGUGAAAGUGUUUAGAUCAGAUCGCGGAACAAACUUUGUUGGUUCAACAGAAAAUUUGAAAAUUGAUACAGUCAACGUAGAAAAUGGUCCAGUAAGAGACUUCAUAUAUAAAUCAGGCACAGUGUGGAUUUUUAACCCUCCUCACUCCUCUCACAUGGGAGGAGUGUAGGAGAGGAUGAUAGGAAUUUCUCGCCGGAUAUUAGACUCUAUGCUGUCAUCAGUGAAUGGAAAAAAUCUUACGCAUGAUGUUCUUGUGACCUUUAUGGCAGAAGUUUCUGCGAUUAUAAAUAACAGACCUCUUGUUCCGAUAUCUUCAGACCCCGACUCACCGAUUAUUCUGUCUCCAUCAACACUUCUUACACAGAAAACAUGUGAUACUGACACAAUUUAUACGCUAGAUGACUUUAAUUUGAAAGAUCUAUAUAAAGCGGAAUUGAGAAGAGUUCAAAUGUUAUCUAAUAUGUUUUGGGUUAGAUGGCGAGAAGAAUAUAUUCAGACACUUCAGACUAGGCGGAAAUGGCAGGAAAAUAGACCUAAUAUUCGAACAGGUGAUGUCGUUCUGUUAAGAGACAAAGCUGUGUGUAGAAAUCAGUGGCCACAUGGAUUAGUGGAAGAAUCUUUAAUCAGUUCUGAUGGUAUUGUCCGCAAAGUCCGUGUGCGCAUAAUCAGAGAAGGAAAACCGGUUGUAUAUACCCGUCCAGUCACAGAACUUGUACUAUUAGUCUCAGAGUAAAACACUUGUUAUCGACUUAUGUUAAUUGAUUGAUAGUCAUGACAAUAAUGAACAAUUGGGUAUUUUUGAUGACCUUUGAUAUUGUAAUGUAUAUAUGUUAUUUUUUGAAAAUCAUAAGUUCAGUUAUAUAAUGAUAUUUGGUAUCGGUUGUCCAAGUUGAAGUUUUUGAAUAAAUGUACAAGGUAUAUUUUUUUAUUCAACAGAUGAUUAGAAAAUGUUGUGUUUGUUGUUUUUACAAAGAGUGAUAUCUGUGUAUAUCAGACGGGGAGUGUUCUGUCUCCGGAAUUCCGGAAUUAAUGUUCCAUAUUUGACUCUAUUUUUUGUAACAUCACAUCACUUCCUGCUUUGUUUUGAAAACAUUGUGACAAUAAUUUCAUGUUCUUUCCUCACUGUCUCGUAACGUGUUUUUACCUUAUACUAGAAUGAUGCACUACGCACCCAUUUGAUGUCUUUUCGGUGCCUUAUAUGAAUAAAGUUGUGCAAUUAAAA